CAGGAGGAGGCGCCGCUGGGACACAGAGAGCUCACUCAGCCGGUUGAAACCGGCUGAGCUAUCCCUUAAUAGUCUAACUCAGUUGCCAUAGUAACAAAACCCAUGACAACCAAAUACACAACAGCAUUGAAUUUGCAAAGGAAGAAGACAGGAGACAUAAUUAACAAAGUGGAGCCACAUUGCUGUGGUACCAAUGCAGAGGCACCAGAGAUGCAGUGCAAAGGGACAAGGAAAGGCCUCUUUGGAUCUUGGGGAACUGUCAGUUUCUGAGACAGACCAGUACAGGUAUACUGCAUUACUGUAGCCCAGCUGAGAGGUAACAAAAGCAUGAAUAGCUGAGGCCAAGUCAUCGUCUGCCAGGAUGGGACAGAGUCUCCUAGCCACCCGGAGAUGGUAGAAAGUGUAACUCACGAAUGCUGCUAGCAAGAACGAGACACCAACAUACUGGAAGCACGUUUGAGGGUAGCCAGACAAGUUGCCUUCCUUGCUGGUCCUGCUACUAGCAGCUCAUGAAAGUUGGAGGUACCUGGGUUGUGAGAAGAAGGUGCCAUUCAUUCCUGUGCAGAGAGUCCACGCAAAACUCAUUCUGCACACUUAUGCUCCAUGAUCCCACACAGAGACUAACAAAGAGAAGGAACAAUACGGGGCCAACAGGGCCCUGCCCCUCAGCAGCGGCAAAGCAUGCUUCAAGUGGAGGAUCUGCUUAAAAGGAUACUCAGUCAGGGAGAGAAAAAGGAAAAGGACAACAGUUAGUAUGCUCAGGCAUGAACAUAGCACUAGCAUGUAUUCCUGGGAUACCUGGAAAUGAAAUGGCAGGUAAAAAAAGCAAAAAAUGCAUUAAAAAUGAAGAAAUUGAUAUAAAGAUUCCUUUGAGUAAGCAGAAACGUAAGUUUAGUUUAAAAAGGAUUUAAAAGGGAAUGGCAAGAACUAGGGACCAAGGAGACAAGGGGGAGGACAAGUCUGUGAAGUAUGCCCCAAAAUAGAGGAUAAUGAACCACUCCAGUACUAAUGUUUAGACUGUUAGCUGGUCACUGUGUUUGAAUAAUAAUUUAUAUUUAUUGAAUAGAUCAAAAAAUGGGUUAUAUAAUCCCUGUAAGGUUAAAGAAACGGUUGAUCAUCUGAUAUGGGAAUGCAAGGAAUGUUCCCAGUGGGGGAAAAAGUCUCUUUAUAAAGAAUUUAGAUGCUUUGAGAUGACAGAAUACAUUAUGAGGAGUUUAAUGAAAAUAUUGGAAAAGUGGGGUAACAUUUAAAAAGUUCUCUUUUAAAAGGAAAUAGUGUGGUAAAAAUGUAGUGGCAUAAAUUUAUGAGGAAUAUAGUAUGUGAUAGUUACACACACAGUAGAUGAGAGCUUUGUUGUAAAGCAUAAGAGGAAGAGAAGGAGGAAAUGCAGGGCGGAGGGAGAGUGAGUGAGAGGCUGGCCAAAGUGUGGAAGCCAGUUUGCAACUUCUGGAGGUGAAGCAAUCUACAGGAGAAGGUUUUUGGAAUUUUCCUUCUUUGUGCCAAGUAAAAGAGAUUUUUGUUCAGUUCUCUGAAACUAAAUCUCAAUCUAAAUGCCUCUGCCCCUUAAAAUGAGGAACUGUGAAGUGCAGCUUUGAAACAAAGCCCCUGAAAUAAAUCCUUAGGUGUGCUAGAGCCGUGCUUGAUGCACCAGAGAAAGGGGAAGAUGAUCCCACUAUCUUUUCUGGAGACAACUAAUGGUCCAUUCAACCCUAGUUCAAAUAACAGCUGGUGGCUCAUAUGCCUUUGAGGAUUGCUGGAGCAUAAAUCACACUGACCAUGGACCCUCCCUCCACUGUGGAGGCCAGGAGUGAAUGGUGUAGAAUGAGCUAUGCUGACUUUAUAACUCUCAAGGACUGCCCCUUUUGAAGAGAUUCCUGAACUGGCUGUUUAGCACAUCUUUCUGUCAACGUUGCACCACCACAGAAGAGCAAAGAGUUGAGAAUCUUCCUCCUGUGUUCCAAAGUUUCACCCAAGUACAUUUAUAAUGCUAUUAUAACUUCUAGUUUGGAAAAGAAGAGUAAUUAAGUCAAAGAAAGCUGGCACCGAGAGAGAGAGAGUGAGCCACCUCAGGAUUUAUCAAUAUAAGAGGCUAAUAGUACUUUGUGCCAUAGAGUAUGCUUCAUAUCCUUUUCAUAGCAACUCUUAUUAUGUGACCAAUUGGCUUCUUUAAAGAUGCAUUCCUUGCUACAUGAAAACAAAGUUUUGUAUGCAUCUAGCCAGAACUGGAGCCAUUGUGACUGCAACUUUGCUUACUUGCUGGCUAACUUUCAAUAGUUGGUAUAAUGUGUAUCUAUAGGCUCUGGAGAAGUAUUACUAUAGCCAGAAGUCUGGGGGAAUGAAUAAAUAAAUACCAGAGUAAAGUGAUACCAAAAUUAUCCUUUUCAGGAAAUAAAGCCUUUUAAAAACUA